UACGUAGGCAGCAAGCGUUGUUCGGAGUUACUGGGCGGAAAGGGUGUGUAGGCGGUCUUCUAAGUUUGGUGUGAAAUCUCCCGGCUCAACUGGGAGGGUGCGCCGAAAACUGGAAGGCUAGAGUACUGGAUGGGAGAGUGGAAUUCCUGGUGUAGCGGUGAAAUGCGUAGAUAUCAGGAGGAACACCUGUGGUGUAGACGGCUCUCUGGACAGUAACUGACGCUGAGACACGAAAGCGUGGGUAGCAAACAGG
rnacentral:rRNA from 1 species